UUGGAAACAGGUCUAGCCCAGGCGCUAGGGAAUAGCCCAGCCCAAGCUGGGCUGCAGGGAGGGAGGGGGCAGUGCUGGAAGGAUGAGAGAGCUCCUCCACCUCCUCAGCCCUGCUGGUGGUGGCCCAUGGUCACCUUCUCCGUAGGCCUGGAGUCCUGCCUGAGUCUCUGGACACUACCCUCUCCUGGGCAGGGCAGUUGGGCUUGUUACGCUUGGCCGCUCCAAGCAGAAACUGAGAAAAGGCAAAACCUGGCAUAGCGGCCAGCCUGGUGGGGUGGUGGCAAGGCAGGAGGGCCAGCUGGCUGCUGAGCUGAAUAGGACUGAUGACUCUGUUUCCCUGGUUGUCCUGUUUGAUGUUAAUCACCAGGCUGAGCAAGCUCUUCAACCAGACACAGCUGGCCCCCAGGGAAAUACGACAAGAGGCCAGGGAGGGUCUAGGUUAUUUGGAGUUAAAGACCUGCAGGACGGGGCAGAGUCAGGGGCAGGGAGUUUGAAGGAGGGGGUCAGAGGGUACAGAGAUGGAAAAAGAUGGUGAUGGAGGUCUCUAGUGAUGGCAGAUGGCAGAUGAAAGGGGAAGCUUGGGGACCAGCUGACCUCCAAGGUUCCUUUCAGCUGGAAAAACUGGUUCCAAGGGACACAGGAGUGAAGAGAUGAACUAACUGCCAGACAGGACCUUCAACAAACCGAAAGAGAGCCUCCCAGUCUCAGAGCUGUGGUCCAGCCACUGGGACACUUGCUGAGAUCCCAUCUAAGAUUUAGGGUCAGAGCUGGCAAGCAGAGAUACCAAAGGACACCAGUCUAGGGAAGGACAAACAGUGAGGUUCAGGCCUGGCAGUGAAGAAACCUCAACUGAGCCACAAUUUGCUGUGUGAUCUUAGAUGGGGAGCCUGAGGCCCAGAGAGGGCAAAGACAUGCUCAAAGUUGCACAGCAAGACAGCCAUGGAAGCAAGUUGGAACCCAGGGUUCUUGACUCUUCCCGUAUGUACCAAUGUGCUGGAGCUGGCUUUCACUGGCUCUUCCCAACUCAGUAUUCAAUGACUUCACACUGCCAGCUUGAGAUGAGCCAUGAUGGGAAUGUCAGCACCACAGAAGUCAGCAGGUGCCGCAGAUGCCCUCCUUUAAGCAGAUCACUCAGCAUUUUCCAGUACACCCUGUACACAACACUAUUUCAGAUCAUCUUAUGUAUUUGUCAGCUUACCGAUCUGCUGUAUGUCUCCUCUACAUGAAGUUUCAUGAGGGCAGGGUCUAUGGCUUGUCAUUUUUGCCACUGUAUCCCUGGUUCCUAGAACAAUGCUUGUUGUAUAGUAGGUAUCCAAUACAUGCUGCUUGAAUGAAUAAAAGUCUGAGGGAAACACUGGAAACACAAGAGAGGAAACUGUUACCUUUGUACCUGAAUACGGAAUAUUUGAGCUGAGGCUUCAACCAUAAAAAAGAGUUUGCUAAGGAGCCAAGGGAGAAAGGACUUCCCAGGCAGAGGGAAUAAAAUGGAGGCAUGAAAGA
rnacentral:lncRNA from 10 species